UAAUACGGAGGAUCCGAGCGUUAUCCGGAUUUAUUGGGUUUAAAGGGUGCGCAGGCGGGAUGUUAAGUCGGCGGUGAAAUUUUGCAGCUCAACUGUAAAAGUGCCUUCGAAACUGGCAUUCUUGAGUGUAGAUGAAGUAGGCGGAAUUUGUGGUGUAGCGGUGAAAUGCAUAGAUAUCACGAGGAACUCCGAUUGCGCAGGCAGCUUACUAAACUAUAACUGACGCUCAUGCACGAAGGCGUGGGUAUCGAACAGG
rnacentral:rRNA from 1 species